UAACGAAAGAGAGGUUGUCAAUGGCCACAUUUUAUAGCACUAGACCUGGCGGAGCAAUCGGGCCAGCACCUAGCUUGAUCAAUGAACAGAAACGAGCAUUAUUUAAGACAGUGACCCUUGAAGAAUACUUUAAAAGAUUAUUUUCUCAUGAGCUUAAUGGAAAAUAUUUCCUUGAUGAGAUGAGAAUUUGAAAUAGUACUUGAUCAUAAUAAAGGCUACAACAAUUAUACAUGUUGUAGUUUCAAUAGGCAAUAUAUAAUAAUAAUAGUUAAUUCCAAGGACUAUACUCAUCGGCAAUCACUAUUCUUCUAAUCAAGCGUUAAAAGGACACUUGAUAAAAUAAAUCUAAUUAGGAGUAAGUCCCGAAAUUAAUCAACUUUACCAAAUUAGAGCUAUCAAAGCACAAUAGUCGGAGCUUAAAACUGAGUUCAACUGAAAAAAAGAUUAUUCUCCAAAAAAUCCCAAAACUCGAUAUUUAAAUUUUCAUGGCUUCUUCUUUCACCCACACUUCCCCAGAAAUUAAUGGACAACAACUCGAUACCAGAUCGAACUCUCCCAUAUGCUUUCUUGGAUCAUUAAAAGAAUGCCAGAAUUUACCAUCCCUUUCUUUCCAAAAACUUACUGAACAGCCACCAAGAAAAUUCUUACGUGGUCCAUCCAGAAAAGAACUCGUACCAGGAAAACUAAAGAUUACCAAGAAAAUCCUUAUGUGAUCCAUCCAAAAAAGAACUCGUAUUAGGAAAACUAAAGAUUAAGGAGCAGCCACCAAGAAAAUCCUUACAUGAUCCAUCCAGAAAAGAACUCGUAUCAGAAAAACUAAAGAUUAAGGAGCAGCUACCAAGAAAAUCCUUAAGUGAUCCAUCCAGAAAAGAACUCGUAUCCGGAAAACUAAGGAUUAAGGGACUCACUUUCCUGGUUUGAUCUUGCUGCAUCUUCCUCGCAAAUUCCCAUAAAUCCUGCACCAAAGAAAUCAGUUUAUCUUAUUUACCUCCCUCUCAAACAAAACGGAGUAAAAGAAAAGAAAAUUCUAACGGAAGAAUUUUGAAUUUUCUCAGCAACCAUGUAGUGAGAGAAAAUCAUCUGCAUUUCCCCCACCUACUCACUACUUCUAAUCAUUAGACCACAGUGUCUCCUUAUUAUAAAUAAGCAUAGAGCUAUCAAAUCCAAAACCCCGUCAUAAAAAUUCUCUCCCCAAGAAGAAAGAGGUAUAUAUAAGCAUAUACGAAAACAAAUUUUUACGAUUUUUUUGAAGUAGAUAGUUUUGUGGUUUUUUCUUAGACAAAUUAUAAUAUGAAUAUAUUAUUGUGAAAAUAUGUAAGUAAUAAACUUUUAUAUGCCAAAUGAUUAAAAUUUAGAAAUUGAU
rnacentral:lncRNA from 1 species